UACGGAGGUGGCAAGCGUUGCUCGGAAUCACUGGGCGUAAAGGGCGCGUAGGCGGGGAGGUAAGUCGGGUGUGAAAUCCCUUGGCCCAACCGAGGAACUGCGCCCGAGACUGCUUCUCUUGAGUCCCGGAGAGGAAGGUGGAAUUCCCGGUGUAGCGGUGAAAUGAUGUAGAGAUCGGGAGGAACACCGGUGGCGAAGGCGGCCUCUGGACGGUGACUGACGCUGAGGCGCGAAAGCGUGGGGAGCAAACGGGA
rnacentral:rRNA from 1 species